UGCAUCUGAAGCCUGACGAGGAUGAGAACCUCCGGGGGCAAGAGGUUCGACUCGAGCGCAGCGAGAGAACGUUGCGUCAGCAACGGCCCGCAGGGCGAGCCACGCA
rnacentral:sRNA from 2 species